rnacentral:rRNA from 1 species
CGCGUAGGCGGCUAGGCAAGUCAAAGGUGAAAUCCCUCGGCUCAACCGAGGAACUGCCUCUGAUACUGCCUGGCUUGAGUCCCGGAGAGGGUAGUGGAAUUCCCAGUGUAGCGGUGAAAUGCGUAGAUAUUGGGAGGAACACCGGUGGCGAAGGCGGCUACCUGGACGGGUACUGACGCUGAGGCGCGAAAGCGGUGGGGAGCAAACA